UACGGGGGGGGGCAAGCGUUGUUCGGAAUUACUGGGCGUAAAGGGCGCGUAGGCGGCCUGCUAAGUCACACGUGAAAUCCCUCGGCUCAACCGGGGAACUGCGUGUGAUACUGGCGGGCUCGAAUUCGGGAGAGGGAUGUGGAAUUCCAGGUGUAGCGGUGAAAUGCGUAGAUAUCUGGAGGAACACCGGUGGCGAAGGCGGCGUUCUGGACUGCAACUGACACUGAGGAACGAAAGCCAGGGGAGCAAACGGG
rnacentral:rRNA from 1 species